rnacentral:rRNA from 1 species
UGCGGGGGGAGCAAGCGUUGUUCGGAUUUACUGGGCGUAAAGGGCGCGUAGGCGGCCACCGCAAGUCGGUUGUGAAAUCUCUGGGCUUAACCCAGAAAGGUCAACCGAUACUGCGGGGCUAGAGUGCAGAAGGGGCAACUGGAAUUCUCGGUGUAGCGGUGAAAUGCGUAGAUAUCGAGAGGAACACCUGCGGCGAAGGCGGGUUGCUGGGCUGACACUGACGCUGAAGCGCGAAAGCUAGGGGAGCGAACGGG